CAACAACCUCAGCAUUUUGAUGCUCGAAACUAUCUUCAGGUCAAUGGCCUGCAACCUAACGAUGAUUACCCUAGGCCAGACCAACCACCCCUCCAAUUAGUCUGAUACAUAUAAUUACCAAAGCGCCUAGUGCUGCUGGUUCGUAUAAACGCUUCUACCAUAGUAAUUAAGAAUGAGCAAUUAGCUAGCUUGGUGAUUGGAGAAGACAGAUCAAACUUUUAUCUGCAGGCCAUUGAUGGAUCAUCAUGCUUCAUUGAUUGAUUACAUAGACUUCUACUGUAUGUUUUCUGAGUAAGUCUGCUUAAUUAUUCUACAUAUAUAUAUAUAUAAAUGUUUGAUGUGUAUGGAAAAACACUAGUGGUUUGAUAUAGUUCUUGA